GUGAACCAGCGGUGAUGGCAAGCAGCGCGGUGACUGCGAGCGAAGCAGCGUCAAUGUCUCUGUGUGCGAAGCGGCGUCAAUGUCUCCGUGUACGAGCUGUGUGCAAGCGAAGCGGCGAAAACAAGCGGGAGAAGUGAGCGGGCCUGGCGCAAGUGGAGCUGCAAUUAUACAAGCAGAGUCGAUCUUCUAUUUUUCCUUCAAUUGAAGUGAGACGCUGAACCCUAUCCCUAUCGUCUUCUUCACCCAAUUUAGGGCAAAACUCAGAAUCAAUUUCUAAAAUCCUAAAUGCUCCACAAGUGAAGAAUCCCUGCGCAAAAUUGAUUCCCAAUUUUGUAAGAAGAAUUUCAAAGCUCUUCAUAAUAGGUCAAGAACGGGCCUGGCUGCUGGUGGUUGCAAAAUCUGAAUUUAGAUUCAUUCGGUGGUGAAUUGACGCUGAGGAGGAGGCUGCUUUGAAAAUUCCGAAGCAAGAACGACUUAUGUAACUUUGAAAAGGGAGUUUUACUGUCUUUUAUCUCUUGAAUUCUUUGACAAAUAAUGUGACUUUAUCUCAUCUUUCGCUGCUGAAAAUAAUGCUUGUUUUGAUUGCAGUCCCUCCCGAGCUUACUCAAGGUUGUUCAAGGGCAAACAACAAUUCAAGUGUGAGGAGGGAAGUCAUCGGCACCACCAAAAAUUUUGAAAAAAUCUGGCUGCAAGAUAUGAAUCAGGGAAGUUUUUUAUUCCCUUAUCGAUUAUUUAUGCCGGCUUAUUAAUUGAUUGCUAAUUUGUUGGUUUGUAGAAUAAUUGCUUCUGUAGUUACAAAUCUAGUUGAUUAGGAUAAUUUUCAGAUUAAUGGUGUAGAAGCUGUGUAAUAUAUUAGUUUGUUGUUGU